GACGAACGCUGGCGGCGUGCCUAAUACAUGCAAGUCGAGCGGACCGAAGGGAGCUUGCUCCUUUAGGUUAGCGGCGGACGGGUGAGUAACACGUGGGCAACCUGCCCUGCAGACUGGGAUAACUUCGGGAAACCCCGGAGCUAAUACCCGGAUAACACCCGAAAACCCGCAUGGUUUUCGGUUGAAAGGCGGCAUUAGCUGUCACUGCAGGAUGGGCCCCGCGGCGCAUUAGCUAGUGUGAGUACGCUCACCAAGGCGACGAAUGCGUAGCCGACCUGAGAGGG
rnacentral:rRNA from 1 species